rnacentral:ribozyme from 11 species
CGUACAGAAACAAAGAAGGAAGAAAAAAAAAAGAGAGAAAAACCAUCGCCCGCGUCCGCUUUCAUGUGUGUAGUCAGACUCCUUUCUCUCUUUGAU